rnacentral:lncRNA from 1 species
GGGCAUUGAAAGAGAAACUAUCCUCAGUACAUUGCCUUUUUGGAUCUGAACAGGUUGAAUAAGAAGAAGCAAGCAAUUGCUCGGCAAGGUAUUUAUAUGAUAACUCCUUGCAACUUUUCUAUUUAUGAUUCUACUACCUGGAUAUUAGAUUCUAAAAAUUCUAUUAACAUAUGUAAUUCAUUGCAGGAUCUAUAGAUCAGUAGGAGAUUUGAAGAAGAUGAGAGAUUUCUUAAUAUUGGAGAUGGA